rnacentral:rRNA from 1 species
AGGGAGACGACUUAACUGAACCUUCGGGGAACGUUAAGGGCGUCGAGCGGCGGACGGGUGAGUAAUGCCUAGGAAGUUGCCCAGUAGAGGGGGAUAACCAUUGGAAACGAUGGCUAAUACCGCAUAACCUCUUCGGAGCAAAGCAGGGGACCUUCGGGCCUUGCGCUAUUGGAUACGCCUAGGUGGGAUUAGCUAGUUGGUGAGGUAAGGGCUCACCAAGGCGACGAUCCCUAGCUGGUCUGAGAGGAUGAUCAGCCACACUGGAACUGAGACACGGUCCAGACUCCUACGGGAGGCAGCAGUGGGGAAUAUUGCACAAUGGGCGAAAGCCUGAUGCAGCCAUGCCGCGUGUGUGAAGAAGGCCUUCGGGUUGUAAAGCACUUUCAGCAGUGAGGAAGAUGGUAAGAUUAAUACUCUUAUCAUUUGACGUUAGCUGCAGAAGAAGCACCGGCUAACUCCGUGCCAGCAGCCGCGGUAAUACGGAGGGUGCGAGCGUUAAUCGGAAUUACUGGGCGUAAAGCGCAUGCAGGUGGUGAGUUAAGUCAGAUGUGAAAGCCCGGGGCUCAACCUCGGAAUUGCAUUUGAAACUGGCUCACUAGAGUACUGUAGAGGGGGGUAGAAUUUCAGGUGUAGCGGUGAAAUGCGUAGAGAUCUGAAGGAAUACCAGUGGCGAAGGCGGCCCCCUGGACAGAUACUGACACUCAGAUGCGAAAGCGUGGGGAGCAAACAGGAUUAGAUACCCUGGUAGUCCACGCCGUAAACGAUGUCUACUUGGAGGUUGUGGCCUUGAGCCGUGGCUUUCGGAGCUAACGCGUUAAGUAGACCGCCUGGGGAGUACGGUCGCAAGAUUAAAACUCAAAUGAAUUGACGGGGGCCCGCACAAGCGGUGGAGCAUGUGGUUUAAUUCGAUGCAACGCGAAGAACCUUACCUACUCUUGACAUCCAGAGAACUUAGCAGAGAUGCUUUGGUGCCUUCGGGAACUCUGAGACAGGUGCUGCAU